CCUACGGGUGGCAGCAGUGAGGAAUAUUGGUCAAUGGACGCAAGUCUGAACCAGCCAUGCCGCGUGCAGGAAGACGGCUCUAUGAGUUGUAAACUGCUUUUGUACGAGGGUAAACGCAGAUACGUGUAUCUGUCUGAAAGUAUCGUACGAAUAAGGAUCGGCUAACUCCGUGCCAGCAGCCGCGGUAAUACGGAGGAUUCAAGCGUUAUACGGAUUUAUUGGGUUUAAAGGGUGCGUAGGCGGUCGGAUAAGUUAGAGGUGAAAUCCCGAGGCUCAACUUCGGAAUUGCCUCUGAUUCUGUUCGUCUAGAGAGUAGUUGCGGUAGGCGGAAUGUAUGGUGUAGCGGUGAAAUGCUUAGAGAUCAGACAGAACACCGAUUGCGAAGGCAGCUUACCAAGCUACUUCUGACGUUGAGGCACGAAAGCGUGGGGAGCAAACAGGAUUAGAUACCCCAGUAGUC
rnacentral:rRNA from 1 species